GGAACAGCCAAGCAUACAACGCUGGAAAGAUGAGGUCAACAGCAGCUCAUUAAUCAUACAUGAAGUGUGAUCAAAACAUAAGGUGACUAUUUAAAAUUUUUAAAUGCUUUACAGUUUAUCUCCCUCAAAAUCCUCCCCCUUGCCUCUAGCACACUUACCUAAUCAUUCUUUCCACUCUCCAAAGCAGUUUGGGAAGUCCUCUUUUGUUGAGCUGCCCUGGCUGCUUUGACAUCCUGAAUCAAUCCAAAACAUUUCCCUUUCAUUUUCGACUGUGGAGAAAAAACAGAAGCUACAUGGUGCCAGAUUGAGUGAAUAAGGUAGAUGAGGAUGCACCAUAAUGUUUUUAUGAGCCUGCCUUUUCCUUGGAUGGCACUCAACAACAGUAUUCACAUUAUUUUUUGUCACACCUCAUAAAAGACACUCAAGAAAGAGGACCUCCAGAACUGCUUCAGAAAACAGGAAGAACAAUGAGUUGGCCCAGAAAGACAGCUCCCAACAACCUUCCCAGAAACCUCACUCUCUUCUUCUGAGAGCUUCAGAGACCAUGUGCCUGUGGAGAGAAUCAGAUUGGAGCUUGAAAGUGAAGAAACAGAACAGACAGUGGUAUUGUUUGUGUCUACCCAUGUACACCAACUCAAUCACGGUUCCAUCCCUGUGAGCCCAAUUCAGAGGGUAUUUACUUCUGACCCAGUAAGAUGUUCCCUGAGGGGGCCAUGUGGCAGCCAUGUCAGGGCACCUCUCACAUCCCCUGCUGUGGCCCCAGCUGGUUCUCUCAGAGGUCUCUCAUGCCUUUGC
rnacentral:lncRNA from 1 species